UACGGAGGGGGCUAGCGUUGUUCGGAAUUACUGGGCGUAAAGCGCACGUAGGCGGCUUUGUAAGUUAGAGGUGAAAGCCCGGAGCUCAACUCCGGAAUUGCCUUUAAGACUGCAUCGCUCGAAUCAUGGAGAGGUGAGUGGAAUUCCGAGUGUAGAGGUGAAAUUCGUAGAUAUUCGGAAGAACACCAGUGGCGAAGGCGACUCACUGGACAUGUAUUGACGCUGAGGCACGAAAGCGUGGGGAGCGAACAGG
rnacentral:rRNA from 1 species